UACGAGGGGGGCAAGCGUUGUUCGGAAUUAUUGGGCGUAAAGGGUGCGUAGGCGGUUUUGUAAGUCUUGUGUGAAAUCUUCAGGCUCAACUUGAAGACUGCACGAGAAACUGCAGGGCUUGAGUGUGGGAGAGGUGAGUGGAAUUCCUGGUGUAGCGGUGAAAUGCGCAGAUAUCAGGAAGAACACCCGUGGCGAAAGCGGCUCUCUGGAACGGUACUGACGCUGAGACGCGAAAGCGUGGGGAGCGAACAGG
rnacentral:rRNA from 1 species